AUGACUCCUCUUUUUAUCUUGCAGAGCUGGUUGGGCCUGGCUGCCUCACCUCAGGAACCCCCGGACGGACCUUCCUGGUUUUCCGGCCCUCCCUGGCCACACCUGUCCCACCGGGGAGCUCGGCAGGGGACUCUCCUGGCAUCCCAGGCAGGAUCCUGCCUCCAUCCUUCUCCUGGCUCCCUCCUGCCUGCCGGGGAGAGGCUCGGGACUCCUCGGCAACGCCUCCACCAUCAAUCUUCUCCUGGCAUCCCACCAUUCCCCCUGGCCAUUCCAGGAGCGAGGAGCGCAUCACCUGCUCACACCUGCACAGGUACUGCCCCUGCUGCCCGCCGGCACGGGCGCCAGGCUCCACGAUCCCGGCAGCCGGAUCCCCGCCCGCCUCCUCGGCCCGCCGAGCGCCUGACCCGGCCCCCCCGGCUCCGGGAGCUGCAGGAAGAGGCGGAGCGGGGCGGCCCCGGCGCGGCGGCGGCGGGAGGAGCGGGGGAUGCGGGCACCGCGGGGGAUGGAGAAGAGCGGGGCCCCUGGCACGGAGGGGAUGGGGGGUCGGUGCUUGCGAGGUGUAGGGGGGUGCAGGGGCAUUGGGACUGGGACUGGGGGUGUCACCGGGGGUGUCGGGGGGUACACGGCGAGAAUCUGGGUACUGCAGGUGGCUGGGGGGCGAUCAGUGCCUGCGGGGCCGAAGAGGGGGCAAGACAUGUGAAGGGGGAUGCACGGAGGGGGGGUCUGUCUCUGGGGGGUCAGGGCAGGGUGCAGGGGGAUGCACGGAGGGGGGGUCUGUCUCUGGGGGGUCAGGGCAGGGUGCAGAGGGUUUGUGCUGUGGGCCAGCGCACGGACAUGGGGGGGUCCCGGUGGGAUCCAGGCGGGAGGGGUGCGGGGGGACUGGGGGUGCUCGGGAAUGGAGGGUGCACGGGCACAGGGACUCCGGGCCAGUGCCACUGGGGGAGCUUAAGGCGGUGGGAGCUCGGGGGUCCUGGUGCGGUGCAGGAGGUGCUCAGCCCUCGGGAACAGCGGGAGGCGGCACCGUGGGUGAGGCAGGGGAGCCUGUGCGGUACAGGGGAGCGGCACAGACGGGCAGGAGGGCCGGUGAGACCCCACCGAGGGGCUCUGCUCUCACCCCCACUCUCCCACCCUGCUCAGGUCCCAGGGGGAACCUCAGGGCGGCCACCAUGUCCCAGGCCACCACCUGCCUCAAGCAGGGGGAUGGCGGGCAGAGCCCCCCUCCGCUGCCAUCACCACCAGUAUCCCCGCACAUUUUCCCUCCGGAGACGCUGUUCCGACAGGCAGGUGGGGUCACCUACCGCAUCCCCGCUCUGCUCUACGUGCCCCCGGAUGAUUCCUUCCUGGCCUUUGCCGAGAAGCGCUCCUCGCCCCUCGACGAGGAUGCCAAGUACCUGGUGCUGCGGCGGGGCCGCCGGCACGGCUCCUCGGUCAAGUGGGGUCCCACGGAGGAGCUGUCGGCGCUGGCGCUGCCCGGCCACCGCACCAUGAACCCCUGUCCCCUCUACGACGCCAGGAGCGGCACCGUCUUCCUCUUCUGCAUCUGCGUGGAGCAGGGGAAGACGGAGCAG
ensembl:lncRNA